AACUAUGAGGUACAAGAUAAUUAAAGGUAAAUUAAUAGUCUAAAAGUAGUUUAGAGAAGUCCAUGAAGGAAUUCCUACUAUCUAUUACCAUAACUGAUAUUCCUUCUGUUCUAUUUUACCUGCAUGCUCCUAACAGCAUUUGGAUAUAAUGACAGAUUAAACGUGGAAAGAGGCUGCCUUAACAGUUCUUGAGAAAGAUAAUUAUCUGGAUUAAAGUGAUCGGGUAAUAUCCUAUUCGAUGGCUCAAGAUCUUUGGAACAAUGUUGAAUUCACCACUGAACCUCAUAAGCAAAAAGAUGAUGAAGCUGUUUAAAAGGAUUAGAGCAACAAGAAUUUUAUGGCUUCACAGGUUAUUCAAAAUUCGUCCGGGCUGGACACAGUUAUUGAGAUUGAGGAGAUUAAUUCUACAAAUAUUGCUCGGAAUACUUUGGUAGAAGAGCGUAAGAUGCCCAACAAUAUUAACACAGAAAGAUCAUCCUUUCCUUUCAUUUCGUUCAAUGACAACAAAGAGAAACUUGGCAGGGAGGGACAACAAUGGACAUUUUGAUCAAUAUAAAGAAUUUGUUAAGGAUGUGCAACGUGGAGAUUGGUACGAUAUAAGGAAGUUCCUUGAGCAGCAUCCCAACGCAUUGAAUGAGAAGAUCACAGCUCAGGGCAAGACAGCUCUUCACAUUGCUGUUGCUUCGGGACAUGAUGAUAUAGUGGAGAAGCUGGUAUAUAAAAUGUCGGAAGAAAGCUUGGAAAUACAAGAUAAUGAUGGUUGGACAGCUCUAGCUGAGACAGCUUUUGCUGGUAACUACCGGAUGGCAAAGUGCAUGCUUACAAAGAAACAAGCACUUGGCCAGCAUUGGAGACGUGGAUGGACGUCUUCCGGUUGUUCUGCUAUUGAAGGUGGUUAUAAAGAAUUGGCUUGCUAUCUCUAUUCUCUCACUCCGCGGAAGAUCUAAAAGGCAUCAAGGUGCUACACUUUGUACGAAGGCUAUAUAUACCCGGACGUUAGACAAAGAGAAGGUCUCCCCUUUGUAUGCCUUGGCUUCUACACCUAACGCAUUCCCAAGUGAAAAUCAGCUUGUGUUUUGGAAACGAUGGAUCUACUCUCGUUAGUAUCGCUCGCUUGUUUCUUUUCAUUAAAUUGCUCUGGUAUUAUGCAUGCACACAUAGCAU